rnacentral:rRNA from 1 species
AUUGAACGCUGGCGGAAUGCUUUACACAUGCAAGUCGAGCGGCAGCGCGGGGGCAACCCUGGCGGCGAGCGGCGAACGGGUGAGUAAUACAUCGGAACGUACCCAGUAGUGGGGGAUAACACAUCGAAAGAUGUGCUAAUACCGCAUACGACCUGAGGGUGAAAGGGGGGGAUCGCAAGACCUCUCGCUAUUGGAGCGGCCGAUGUCGGAUUAGCUAGUUGGUGGGGUAAAGGCCUACCAAGGCGACGAUCCGUAGCUGGUCUGAGAGGAUGAUCAGCCACACUGGGACUGAGACACGGCCCAGACUCCUACGGGAGGCAGCAGUGGGGAAUUUUGGACAAUGGGGGCAACCCUGAUCCAGCCAUUCCGCGUGAGUGAAGAAGGCCUUCGGGUUGUAAAGCUCUUUCGGCAGGAACGAAACGGUGGGUCCUAAUACGAUCUGCUAAUGACGGUACCUGAAGAAGAAGCACCGGCUAACUACGUGCCAGCAGCCGCGGUAAUACGUAGGGUGCGAGCGUUAAUCGGAAUUACUGGGCGUAAAGCGUGCGCAGGCGGUUUUGUAAGACAGAUGUGAAAUCCCCGGGCUUAACCUGGGAACUGCGUUUGUGACUGCAAGACUCGAGUGUGGCAGAGGGGGGUGGAAUUCCACGUGUAGCAGUGAAAUGCGUAGGGAUGUGGAGGAACACCGAUGGCGAAGGCAGCCCCCUGGGUCAACACUGACGCUCAUGCACGAAAGCGUGGGUAGCAAACAGGAUUAGAUACCCUGGUAGUCCACGCCCUAAACGAUGCCAACUAGGUGUUGGGGAAGGAGACUUCCUUAGUACCGUAGCUAACGUGUGAA